UCGUUAACGAACGAGACCUUAACCUGCUAAAUAGCCGGUACGACAUUUUGUUGUACAUUGGCUUCUUAGAGGGACUAUUGAUGUUUAAUCAAUGGAAGUUUGAGGCAAUAACAGGUCUGUGAUGCCCUUAGAUGUUCUGGGCCGCACGCGCGCUACACUGAUCAAGUCAACGAGUUUACAACCUUGGCCGGAAGGUCUGGGUAAUCUUUUGAAACUUGAUCGUGCUGGGGAUAGUCCAUUGCAAUUAUUGGACUUCAACGAGGAAUUCCUAGUAAGCGUGAGUCAUCAGCUCGCGUUGAUUACGUCCCUGCCCUUUGUACACACCGCCCGUCGCUAAUACCGAUUGAAUGGAUA
rnacentral:rRNA from 1 species